UACGGAGGGCGCGAGCGUUGUCCGGAAUCACUGGGCGUAAAGGGCGCGUAGGCGGCCCUGGUAAGUCUGCGGUGAAAGCCCGGGGCUCAACCCCGGGUCGGCCGCGGGUACUGCCGGGCUGGAGUGCCGUAGGGGCAGGCGGAAUUCCGGGUGUAGCGGUGGAAUGCGUAGAGAUCCGGAAGAACACCGGUGGCGAAGGCGGCCUGCUGGGCGGCGACUGACGCUGAGGCGCGACAGCGUGGGGGGCAAACAGG
rnacentral:rRNA from 1 species